rnacentral:rRNA from 1 species
AUGAACGCUGGCGGCGUGCCUAAUACAUGCAAGUCGAGCGAACAGACGAGGGGCUUGCUCCUCUGACGUUAGCGGCGGACGGGUGAGUAACACGUGGAUAACCUACCUAUAAGACUGGGAUAACUUCGGGAAACCGGAGCUAAUACCGGAUAAUAUAUUGAACCGCAUGGUUCAAUAGUGAAAGACGGUUUUGCUGUCACUUAUAGAUGGGUCCGCGCCGCAUUAGCUAGUUGGUAAGGUAACGGCUUACCAAGGCAACGAUGCGUAGCCGACCUGAGAGGGUGAUCGGCCACACUGGAACUGAGACACGGUCCAGACUCCUACGGGAGGCAGCAGUAGGGAAUCUUCCGCAAUGGGCGAAAGCCUGACGGAGCAACGCCGCGUGAGUGAUGAAGGUCUUCGGAUCGUAAAACUCUGUUAUUAGGGAAGAACAAAUGUGUAAGUAACUAUGCACGUCUUGACGGUACCUAAUCAGAAAGCCACGGCUAACUACGUG